rnacentral:lncRNA from 1 species
UAUCGAACAAGAACGAGGCUGGGUUACAUUUUCUUUUGUCAAUUUCAACCCUUUCUGAGGUAAACCUUUUAUCAUUUUUUUUACCCUUCGCCCUUCUCCCCCCCCUUGUUUUGACCCACCCGAUUUCUUAUGUGACCCUUGAUUGUGUCAAUGUCACCCUCGCUGAUCAUGUAUGUAGUUUUGUAAGGGAGUUUAACCUUUUAGAUCGUUUUGUAUUGUGUGUAUAUAUAUUUGUUUGUGGUGGUGUUUGACGAUAAGAGACGUGUGUAUAUAUAUAUAUAUAUAUAUACACACAAUAUAUAUAUAUAUAUAUCAUAUGCACAUACGCACACACGUACACACGCACAAGCAUAUAUAUAUAUAUAUAUAUAUAUAAAUGGACAACUGACCGAUAUAAAUAUAUACACGCACACAUAUACAUCCAAACACUUUGUAUAUAUAGACACACAUUUACAUAUAUUUACAUACACAUACCCAUCUCUCUCCCCCUCUCUCUCUAUGUAUCUAUCUAUCCAUCUCUGUAUCUAUCGAUCUGUCUAUCUAUCUAUCUAUCUAUCUAUCUACAUAGAUCUAUCCAUCCAUCCAUCCAUCUAUCUACAUAGAUAGAUCUAUCCAUCCAUCUAUCUAUCUAUCUAUCUAUCUAUCUAUCUAUCUAUCUAUCUAUCUAUCUAUCUAUCUACACAGAUAGAUCUAUCUAUCCAUCCAUCUAUCUAUCUAUCUACAUAGAUCUAUCUAUCUAUCUAUCUAUCUAUCUAUCUAUCUAUCUACAUAGACAGAUCGAUCCAUCUAUCUAUCUACAUAGAUAGAUCUAUCCAUCUAUCUAUCUAUCCACCUAUAUAUCUGUCUGUCUGUCUAUCUUGACAAUAACAAUAGAUGAUGUGGGUUGUGUAUUUCUAGAUACACCCAAACAAUCAAACAAACAAAAUAAAAGGCACGAUCGCAAUGCCUUUGAUUAUCGCUUUGCUGGAAUUGGGUCGACCUAGGGCUAAAACAGCUAACGACCUGGCGAGACAACAAGGCUGACUAUAUAGACAAAAAUAGAUAGAUAGAUAAAUCAUAUGUAACUACCUUUACUAGUAGGACAGAUGAAAGAUAGGUAGGCGAGGUAGAUAAACAACACCAGCUAUUUAGCUCACUAGACAGAUAUAGUGAAAGAUAAAUAGAUAGAGAGAGAGAGACACACACACAGACAAAGAGAUAUGUAGAUAGAGACAAACAGAUUGAAUGAGAAAGACAAGAACGGAGAGAUAGACAGAUAUGUGUAUAGAGUGGGGAAAGGCAGAUAGCAAGCUAUAUAGGCAUACAGUUAGCUGUGUGUUUGUAUUUAUCUAGCUGUGUAGAUAGAUAGAUAUAGAUAGAUAGGUAGGUAGAUAGAUAGAUAGCCAAACACAAAGAAAUUGAUAGACGUGCAUGGAGGUAGAUAGAUAGAUAAAUAGAUAGGUCGACUUUGCCUUUCAUCCUUUCGGGGGUCGAUAAAUUAAGUACCAGUUACGCACUGGAGGGUUCGAUGCAAUCGACUUAAUACCUAUGUCUGUCCCUGUUUGUCCCCCUCUGUGUUUAGCCCCUUGUGGGUAAUAAAGAAAUAGGUAGAUAGAUAGAUAGAUAUACAAACACAUAGAUAGAUAGAUAGAUAGAUAGAUAUACACAUAUGUAGCCAGACAGGGGUAGGUAGAUCGAUAGAUAGAUAGAUAGAUGGAUGGAUGGACGGAUAGAUAGAUAGAGAGAGAGAUAGAUAUGCAAACAUAGCCAGACAGAGGUAGAUAUAUAGAUAGAUAUACAAACACAUAGACAGAUAGAUAGAUAUACACAUAUGUAGCCAGACAGGGGUAGAUAGAUAGAUAUAUGGAUGGACGGAUAGAUAGAGAGAUAGAUAGAUAGAUAGAUAUACAAACACAUAGAUAGAUAGAUAGACAGAUAGAUAGAUAGAUAGAUAGAUAUAGAUAGAUAGACAGAUGGAUAGAUAGAUAGAUAGAUAGAUAGAUAGAUAGAUAGAUAGAUAGACAGAUGGAUGGAUAGAUAGAUAGAUAGAUAGAUAGAUAGAUAGAUAGAUAGACAGAUAGAUAGACAGAUGGACAGAGAGAUACAGAGGCAGACAAACACCCAUUUAUGCUUGCUUGCUUGUCUCUUUAAAUGUCUAUUUAUCCGUUAAUGUUUAUUUAGUGAGCAAGCUAUCUCUCCAUUCUGCUAGUUUUAUCUUUCUAUCAAUCAAGCCAUCUGUUCAUUCAUUAGUCUUUCUAUCGAUCUGUCUCCUUCCAUACCCUGUCUUCUCUCAAUCUCUCUACUAAGCUACUGGUUUAGCCCAAGGACGACUCUUUCGAGCUGCCUUACGAAUGAUCAGAACCAAUCUAACCGUGACCACCCCCCCCUUUUUUUUUUGUUAAAGUAUACAUAGAAAUACAUUGGUUAUUUAUUGUUGUUUAGACCAGGAGGCAUUCCACCCGUGACUGUCUAGCUGUUUUUUUAGAUCAAGACUGUAUUUGGUUCUUUAUAGGUUCUCUUUUUUUCUUUUUAUUAAUUGACGAUGUGUGAUUUGAGGGAGAUGCAGCUGCUGUUUCUAGCACAUCGAGCGAGGGACCCGAUAAAAAGAUGCUUCCUUUGGCGUGUCUUGGGUCCAACUUUGUUCGUCUAAUAUCUAUAUAUACAUGUGUGUUUAAUAUAUAUAUAUAUAUAUAUAUAUGUAUAUAUAUAUAUAUAUAUAUAUAUAUAUAUAUAUAAAAUUAAUUAAGGGUAGAAAUUGAUAUUAGUCAAUUAAAACCAGUGGUCUAGCAUAUUAAAAAAGAAUCCGAAGAUUAAAAUAUUUAUAUAUAUCCAAUUAAGGACUGGACACGAAAAGUGGACAGUCAGCAUGCUAGAUAUAGACGUCAAAUCGCCAUUCUCCACAAAAGAUUAUGCUCUCAAAUAAAACUUGUGCUGAGUUGUGGAGAAUGGCGAUUUGACGUCUAUAUCUAGCAUGUUGACUGUCCACUUUUCGUGUUCAGUCCUUAAUUUAUAUAUAUAUAUAUAUAUAUAUAUUGGACGUUAAAUGAUAAUGAUGAUAUAUAUAUAUAUGUGUGUGUAUAUAUAUAUGUAUGUCUAUAUGUAUCUCUAUAUACAUGUGUGUGUGUGUAUAUGUAUGUAUGUUUAUAUGUAUCUCUCUCUAUAUAUAUGUGUGUGUAUAUAUAUAUGUAUGUCUAUAUGUAUCUCUCUAUAUAUAUGUGUGUGUGUAUAUAUGUAUGUUUAUAUGUAUCUCUAUAUAUAUGUAUGUUUAUGUAUAUGAAUGUGUAUUUUAUAUGUGUGUAUAUAUAUAUGUAUAUGUAUGUUUAUAUAUACAUGUAUAUGUAGAGAGAGAGAGAGAGAAAUGUACAUGUACAUAUAUACACACAUAUACGCAUAUUUUUUUUUUGCCAAUUUCAGCUCUGGAGUUUGCGGCCAUGCUGGGGCACCGCUGUUUAUGUCGACCUCCCCUACUUUAUCUAUAAAUCUCUUUCUCUCUAUCCGAAACUCUUCGAAGUCACAGUAAUUUUUGUGUUCAUGGUUAAUAAUGCCUGUGUAUUCCUCUGUGUGUGUGUGUAUAUAUAUAUAUAUAUAUAUAUAUACACGCAUAUAUGUAUGUAUGUAUGUAUGUAUGUAUGUAUGUAUGUAUGUAUGUAUGUAUGUAUGUACGUAUAUAUAUAUGUAUGUAUGUAUGCAUGUAUGUAUAUACGCAUGUAUGUGUAUGUAUGUAUGUAUGUGUAUACGCAUAUAUGUAUGUAUGUAUGUACGUAUAUAUGUAUGUAUGUAUAUACGGAUGUAUGUAUGUAUGUAUGUAUGUAUGUAUAAGUGUGUGGGUACGUAUGUAUAUAUCCAUAUAUAUAUAUAUGUGUGUGUGUGGUAACUAUAUAUAUAUAUAUAUAUAUCGUAUAUAACGUAUGUAUAUAUCUAUAGCCAUAUAUAUAUGUGUGUCUGGUAACUAAUGUGUCUAUAUAUGAUUUUGUGUACAUGUGUGUAUAUAUGUGCGUGUCUGUGUUUAUAUAGGUAUAUGAUGUGCGUGUGUGAGUGUACAUAGAUGUGUGUAUAUCUGACUGUUAAUCUGUGUGUUUGUGUGUAUACGUAUGUCUGUGACUAUAUGUGUUCGUGUGUGUAUAUGUCCGUCUAUAUCUCUGCCUCAUAAUCUAUCUGGGUGUUUGUGUGUAUACGUGUGUAUAUAGGUAUAUAUAUAUAUAUAUGCAUGUGUGUAUAUAGUUAUAUAUGUGCAUGGAUAGAUUUCUAUAUCUGUUAAUCUAUCUGGGUGGUUGUGUGUAUACGUGUGUAUAUAGGUAUAUAUAUAUGCAUGUGUGUAUAUAGGUAUAUAUGUGUGCAUGGAUAGAUUUCUAUAUCUGUUAACCUAUCUGGGUGCUUGUAUGUGUAUAUAUAUAUAUAUAUAUAUAUAUAUAUGCAUGUGUGUAUAUAGUUAUAUAUGUGCAUGGUUAGAUUUCUAUAUCUGUUAAUCUAUCUGGGUGCUUGUGUGUAUACGUGUGUAUAUAAGUAUAUAUAUAUAUAUAUAUGCAUGGGUAUGUGUGUGUGUGUUUUCUAUAUCUGUUAAUCAGUCUGUGUGUGUGUGUGUGUGUAUUUCUCUGUCUUUCUAUCAACCUGUCUAUGUGUGUGCAUAUGUAUGUACGUACGUGUGUGUGUGUGCUCGCGCGUGUGUAUGCGUAUAUCUUCACUCUGUGUGUGUGUGUGUGUAUGUAGGUGUCUGUCUGUCUGUACUUCAAUUUCUCCAUCUAUCUCUUCCGUUUUCGUCUCUCUCUAUCGAUCCUUCCUACCCUACAUAACUAACUAGCUAUCUGUUCGUCGUUCGAUCGAUUUUUGUCUAACCCACCUAUCUAUUCAUCUAUCAGGCUCUCUUCACACAACCAGACAUUAAAUUUAUAUCACAGACUAAUACACACACACACACACACACACACACAAAUAUACAGGCACACACACAUACACACAAAUAUACAGGCACACACACACACACACAAAUGUACAGACACAUACACACACACACACAUACACACAAAUAUACAGACACAUACACACACACACACAUACACACAAAUAUACAGGCACACACACACACAAAUGUACAGACACAUACACACACAUACACACAAAUAUACAGGCACACACACACACACACACAUACACACAAAUAUACAGGCACACACACACACAUACACACAAAUAUACAGGCACAUACACACACACACACACACUUACACACAAAUAUACAGGCACAUACACACACACACACACACUUACACACAAAUAUACAGGCACAUACACACACACACACACAUACACACAAAUAUACAGGCACACACACACACUCACACAUACACACAAAUAUACAGGCACAUACACACACACACACACGACCUCAAUUUAAUUGCUAUCAUACACAUUCAAUUUAUAUUGCUCACAAUACUCAUUCAUACAUGUAUGAAUACACACACACACACACAUGUAUGUAUAUAUAUAUAUAUAUAUAUAUAUAUAUACAUCAUCAUCAUCAUCAUCGUUUAACGUCCGUUUUCCAUGCUAGCCUGGGUUGGACGGUUCAACUGGGGUCUAGGAGCACCGCCUUUAAUCGAGCAACUCGACUCCGGGACUUAUUCUUGGACUUAUUCUUUUGUAAGCCCAGUACUUAUUCUAUCGGUCUCUUUUGCCGAACUGCUAAGUGACAGGGACGUAAACACACCAGCAUCGGUUGUCAAGCGAUGCUAGGGGGACAAACACAGGCACACAAACAUAUACACACACACACACACAUAUAUAUAUAUAUAUAUAUAUAUGCGACGGGCUUCUUUCAGUUUCCGUCUACCAAAUCCACUCACAAGGCUUUGGUCGGCCCGAGGCUAUAGUAGAAGACACUUGCCCAAGGUGCCACGCAGUGGGACUGAACCCGGAACCAUGUGGUUGGUAAGCAAGCUACUUACCACACAGCUAUAUAUAUAUAUAUAUGUAUAUUUAUAUAUGAAUAUAUAUGUAUAUGCAUGCUUAUAUGUGUGUGUAUAUAUAUAUAUAUAUAUAUAUAUAUAUAUAUAAGUAUAUAUACACAUAUGCCAGGUGUGUAACCAGUCCACUUGUGCGUACCUUUUCCUUCUUAGUUAGUUAGUUAGUUAGUUAGUUAAUUUGGCUCAAAAGCAAAUAGCAAGGCCAUGUAGGGGGACAUGGAGUUAAGUACAGGGUGGUGUUCAUGUAAAGAGUUCAGGCCACUUGAGGUCCAGGGAGGCUUUGAACAAAGCGGUCGUCGGCAUCUUCACCAUCUCGUCUGGCAGCUUGUUCCACGGAUCCGCAACCCGGACGGAGAAAGCUCCUCUCCUUCGAUUGAGAUGAAAUCGUCGCAGGUAGUGUUCUUUGAACACUAAUCUCUGCGAAGACCUGUUGAGGCAAGUGAAGUCAAAACCGAAAUCAAAAUCAAAGUGAGAUUCGAUGAUGGGCACGAGCACCAUACGAGCGUGAUUGUUGACAGAGCAGCUAACCGGCUUCCGUGCCAGUGGCACAUAAAAGGCACCAUUCGAGUGGGAUUGUUACCAGCUGUGCCUUACUGGCACUUGUGCCCCAUGCUACUAGGGUGCUAAGAGCACCAUCCGAACGAGAUCGUUGCCAGAGCGGCUAACUGGCUUCUGUGCCGAUGGUAUGUAGGUGGUAUCUAGGCGGCGAGCUGGUAGAAACGUUAGCACGCUGGGCGAAAUGCGUAACCGUAUUUCGUCUGCCAUUAUGUUCUGAGUUCAAAUUCCACCGAGGUCGACUUUGCCUUUCAUCCUUCCGGGGUCGAUAAAUUAAGUACCAGUUACGCACUGGGGUCGAAAUAUAAUCGACUUAAUCCGUUUGUCUGUCUUUGUUUGUCCUCUCUGUGUUUAGCCCCUUGUGGGCAGUAAAGAAAUAGGUAUGUAGGAGGCACCAUUCGAGCAGGAUCGUUACCAGCAUCACCUUACUGGCACCUGUGCCAUUGGCAUGUGUAAAAAAUUCGAGCGAGGUCGUUGCCAGUACCGCCUGACUGGCCCAAAAAUUCGGGCGAGGUCAUUGCCAGUACCGCUUGACUGGCCCAAAAAUUAGAGCGAGGUCGUUGCCAGUACCACCUGACUGGCCCCCGUGCCGGCGGCACAUAAAAGUACCCACUACACGAUUUGACUGUAGACUGGGCGAACCAGAUGGUUGCACCAGGCUCCAUUUUGAUCUGGCAGUUUCUACAGCUGGAUGCCCUUCCUAACGGCAACCACUCCAUGAGUGUAGUGGGUGCUUUUACAUGCCACCGGCACAAGGGCAAGUCAGGCGUGCUGGCAAUGGCCACGCUCAAAUGGUAUUUUUUACGUGCCGACGAAACGUUAGCACGUCGGGUGAAAUGCUUAGCGGUAUUUCGUCUGCCGUUACGUUAUGAGUUCAAAUUCCGCCGAGGUCGACUUUACCUUUCAUCCUUUCGGGGUCGAUAAAUUAAGUACCAGUUACGCACUGGGGUUGAUGUAAUUGACUUAAUACCUAUGUCUGUCCUUGUUUGUCCCUUCUAUGUUUAGCCCCUUGUGGGUAAUAAAGAAAUGGGUAUUUUUUACGUGCCACCUGCACAGGAGCCAGUCCGGCGGCACUAGCAAUGACCUCGUUCGAAUGUUUUUUCAUGUGCCAACAGCACAAGUGCCAGUAAGGCGACACUGGUAACGAUCACGCUUGAAUGGUGCUUUUUACGUGCCACCAGCACGGAAACUGGUUUGCUGCUCUGGUAACGAUCACACUUGGAAUGGUGCUCUUAGUGCUCCACUAGCACGGAUGCCAGUCAUUGAAUUUGAUUUCGAUUUCACUUGCUUCGUCUCAUUUACUCUUUACUCUUUUACUUGUUUCGGUCAUUUGACUGCGGCCAUGCUGGAGCACCGCCUUUAGUCGAGCAAAUCGACCCCGGGACUUAUUCUUUGUAAGCCCAGUACUUAUUCUAUCGGUCUCUUUUGCCGAACCGCUAAGUGACGGGGAUGUAAACACACCAGCAUCGGUUGUCAAGCAAUGCUAGGGGGACAAACACAAACACACACACAUAUACAUACACAUACAUAUAUAUAUACAUAUAUACGACAGGCUUCUUUCAGUUUCCGUCUACCAAAUCCACUCACAAGGCAUUGGUCGGCCCGGGGCUAUAGCAGAAGACACUUGCCCAAGAUGCUACGCAGUGGGACUGAACCCAGAACCAUGUGGUUGGUUAGCAAGCUACUUACCACACAGCCACUCCUGCGCCUAUUUGCAUCAUUUAGUAAACAUUUUGAUGCUUAUAAAAACAAAUCUUAGUUUGUUUAUACUGUUGUGUCUGGGGAGAGUCAUUUUGUUUUUGUGCCUAAUAAUUUAACACACUCACCGGUAAAAUUUCCACUUAUUUCUUAUUUUUAUUUCCCUAAAAUAUUCAUUGCGGCUUGCAACCUUUUCAAUAGUCUUGACUCUGUCCCUUAUUUACACUGCGUUCCUUUUUGUUUGUGCGCAUGUGUGUGGGUCAGUGUGUGUGUGCCUAUGCAUGCAUGUAUGUAUGUAUGCAUGUGUAUGUAUAUAUGUGGGUGUAUGCAUAUGUAUAUAUGUAUCUAUGUGUGUGCAUCUGUAUGUAUGUAUUCUGUAUAUUCAUGUGCUUGCAUCCUUAAAUCCAUAAAAAUCCUUUAAAAUGUUUUAGCCCGAAGGCUGCGGCCAUGCUGGGGCACCACCGCUGUGUUUGUGUAUUUUCUAUGUAUGUGUGUGUGUGAGCAUGUGUUUGUAUAUGUAUGCACCUCUUUCUGCUUGUGUGUGUGUUUUGCAACUAUGUACCAUGUUUGUAUGUAUGGAUGUGCAUCUCUAUAUGUGUGGACCCGUGUCUCCAUAUGUGUCCUUGUGUGGAGUAAAGUGUGUGUGUGUGUGUAUAUAUAUAAUAUAAUAAUAAUAAUUGUGUACAGUGCUCAGGUGCACUACAACUCAUCUAAAGUGUAUAUAUAAUCAGGUGUAGUUUCGGCAGAUUUCGGAAAGCAUGAGGGCCUUAAAGGAUGCAGUGUCAUGGUAGUCAACAACUGACGCAGGCAGUUUAUUCCAUGCUUCAGCAACUCUGAGCGUGAAAAAAUGUUUCCGAAAGUCAUGGAAGGAGCUGUGCUGUUUUCUGACUUUGUAGGCAUGUCCACGUGUGUUGGACACAUGGAGAUCAAAAAGGUGUUCAGUGUUGUUGUUGUUGUUGGUGAGGUGGUUGAUAACUUCGUGUGUGUCUACCAAGUCCGUCGCCAGACGCCGGAGCUUCAGUGAAUCCAUGCCCAGGGAAACAAGGCGCUCAGAAUAUGGUAGGUGUCUGAUGGAGGGUAUGCGUUUGGUUGCACGUCUCUGGACAGAUUCCAGGAGGUCAAUGUUCUGAGCAAGAUAGGGGUUCCAAACUGAUGAUGCGAAUUCCAAGUGUGGUCGUACCAUAGCUAUAUACAGUUGUGCUCCAGUCUCCAUUUGUGUAUGUGUACUUGUCUAUUCUUAUAACCUACGUACCUAUCCGUCUGUAUGUUGUUUAUAUUUAUACACAUAUUUAUAUAUUUUCUUUUUUUAUUCUUUUACUCUUUUACUUGUUUCAGUCUUUUGGCUGCGGCCAUGCUGGAGCACCGCCUUUAGUCGAGCAAAUCGACCCCGGGACUUAUUCUUUUGUAAACCUAGUACUUAUUCUAUCGGAUCUCUUUUGCCGAACCGCUAAGUUUACUCUUUUACUUGUUUCAGUCAUUUGACUGCGGCCAUGCUGGAGCACCGCCUUUAAUUGAGCAAAUCGACCCUGGGACUUAUUCUUUUGUAAGCCCAGUACUUAUUCUAUCAAUCUCUUUUUGCUGAACCGCUAUAUUUAUAUUUUGUAAGCCCAGUACUUAUUCUAUCGAUCUCUUUUUGCCGAACCGCUAUAUUUAUAUAUUUUCUUUUUUUUUCUUUUUCUUUUUCUUCCGCAGAGCAUUGCAACUGAUAGUUUCUCCACCUGGUUGGUUCCCUUGGAAACAGAUCAUUUCGAUGCUUGUACCUGACGUUUCAUUUCUUCCUAACUCCGAAUCGCAGCAUUGCACCAUCAUCAAGGGGUCAAACGGCCGAAAUCGAACUCACCUGACAUGCGCACCAAAACGCUGAGAAGCCGAUAUCCCGUUGCCGACGGCGAGGAGCACGACGAGAGUGCACUGACCCCAAAAACCAUGAGACUGGCUGAACCCGCAGCCAGCACUGGCUUGGAUACCGGUGCCGGUACCGGUGGCGAGCUACCGUUCGAGGACAAAGCCGAUGGGGCAAACUCGAGUGACCAAAACGUAGCUGGUUGCGCUAACGACAACACUGCAACACCGGACACUGGAAUUGCAGCGAUCGACAACAGAAUUGCAGCAAUCGAUGCAAGCAUCAAGACACCGUACCCCAACCUUGCAACAGCCUACACCUCUGUUGCAGCAACCUAUUCUAGCGUUGCACCAAACUACACCAGUGUCGCAACGACGGGUGCGAACAUUGCCUCGGGCGACGCCGCUGGCGUUACGACGUCCAUGGCGGCGGCCGUUCCAGAUGUCGAUGACAAGAUCUGCCAGAUGUGCGGCAAGAUGCACAACAAGGACGACAUCUUCAAGUACCUGUCGGUGCUUCCGGAAGACGAGCGCUAUAAGUGCCACUACUGCUCGGAGUCGUUUUCGUACAGCUGCCUCUUUGCCGAGCACAUGCGGACGUGUACGCCUGCACAGGGUGCACUCGGAGCCGCGUCACCCGUCAUCGCGCCGCCAGACCCGAUGAAAUGCUGCGGCGGCGGCGGAGUCGGGGUAAACUCGGUCGGGGGUUGCAGUGGUGGUUGCAGUGGUGGUGGCGGGAGUGGUGUUUGCAGUGGUGGUGUUGGUGGUUGUGGUGGCAGUAGCAGUGGUGGUUGCGGUGUUGGUGUUGGUGUUGGUAGUAGUUGUGGUGGUGGUGGUGUUGGUGUCGGUGGUGGGUGCGGCAGGGGGAGAAUGUGCUGUGUGGCUGCUCCCAGUUGCUGCGGAAAUUCCUCCAUGGGUAACACAGUGUGCGUUGCCAACGCAACAGACAUGGCACCGACGCCGCCACCACCGCUGCCGCAACCAAAAAACACACUGAUGCCACCAUCGCAAACAACAACAACAACAACAGCAGCAGCAACCACUGCCAUGGGUUGCAGCGGAUCUCAGAACCUCCACCAUUCGUCAAAGUUGCACCACCACCACCAUCAUCAUCACCACCACCAUCACCACCCGCAUCACCAACAUCACCAGCAUCACCAACACCACCCACACCACCAUCAGCAUCACCAGCACCAGCAUCAUCAACCGCAUCAGUGUCAGCAAAACUCGCGGCGGAUGUACGACGUGGUCGGUUUCAAGUGCGAGGUGUGCGGCCACGUCCUAGCGAACCACGUGGCACUGAAGAGCCACGUGGAUCGGGAGCACAACGGGAAGGGCCCCACUGAAUGCGAAUUCUGCCUCAAGCGGUGCGCGUCGACCAUCGAUCUGGUGCUGCACAAGAGAAUGCACUCGACGGCCACCACGACCGGCGCAGCCGCCUCAUACAAAUGCCAGUGCUGCGACCGCCAGUUCCACUGCCGGUCACAGCUCGUCGAACACGAAAAGACCCACACGGGCACUGCGCCAUAUCGGUGCGAGUUCUGCAACCGCGGGUUCUCGUAUCGCUCGAACCUUAUUGUACACAAGCGCGUCCACGACAGUAAGAGAAGUCAUUUCGAGUGUGACCAGUGCGGGCAAACUUUCCAACACGGGGCCCAGCUCACGCGGCACAAGCUGGUGCACACGACGGACAAGCCUCUGGAUUGUCGGCAUUGCGGGAAGCGAUUUGUGAUAUACAGCAAGCUCAUUGAACACAUUAAUCAGUCGCACACUCCCAACACAAGCCGAGCGUAACCGAUUUUUCAACCUGGGCCCCUGUUUUACCCAACCGCUGAUGCAGCACAGAGGCACCAUAACGGUAUAUAUACGACAGCCCUUUUAAGCCAAACCCCUAACUCACACUGAACGAACUUGUCUGUUAUGCACCCUUGACUGCAAUUCAGGUAGAACACAGCCCUUUUAAAUGUGAACCCUGAACUACACACAGCUGCCAUAAAUGCCCACCUAAAAUUCAUACAAAAUAUGGCCCUUUCAAACAAGGACCGUGAACUACAUGUCACACAUGCCUAAUUGAAAGUCAUACAAAAUAUGGCCCUUUCAAACAAGGACCGUGAACUACAUGUCACACAUGCCUAAUUGAAAGUCAUACAAAAUACGGCCCUUUCAAACAAGGACCCUGAACUGCAUGUGUUACAUGCACCCAGCUAAAAUUCAUGCAAAAUAUAGCCCUUUUAAACAAGGGCCCUGAACAUCUGUCACACAUGCCCAAUUGAAAGUCAUACAAAAUAAGUCCCUUUCAAACAAGACCCGAACUACAUGUUACAUACACCCCCGAUGAAAAAUCAUCCAUAACUACCCUUUUAAAAAAGAGGAAAACCUGAUCCCUACCUGUUUAUCAUACAGCCCCCAACAACAGUCCAUUCCAAUAUGGCCCUUUCAAAUGAGAUCCCCUGAGCCAAAACUAAUCUGUCACAUGCUCUCAGCUUCAAUUCAUACACAACAACCCUUUCAAACUAAAAUCCCAAAACCCACACGUUUAUUACACACACUCUACACCAAUUCAUAUGCAGGAGCUCUGUUGAAAAAAAUCCCUGAACCACACUUAUCUGUUAUACACACCCAACUGCAAUUCCUACACAAUAGCCCUUUUAAACCAGACCCCUGAAUAAUAUAUAUCACAAUACCCCAAGAGCAAUUCACACACAAGACCCCUUUUAAACCAGACCUCCUAAAUAAUAUAUAUCACAAUACCCCAACAGCAAUUCACACACAAGAGCCCUUUUAAACCAGACCCCUGAAUAAUAUACAUCUGUCACAAUGCCCCAACUGCAAUUCACACACAACAGCCCUUUUAAACCAGACCCCUGAAUAAUAUACAUCACAAUACUCCAACAGCAAUUCACACACAAGAGCCCUUUUAAACCAGACCCCCUGAAUAAUAUACAUCACAAUACCCCAACUGCAAUUCACACACAACAGCCCUUUUAAACCAGACCCCUGAAUAAUAUACAUCUGUCACAAUACCCCAACUGCAAUUCACACACAAGAGCCCUUUUAAACCAGACCCCUGAAUAAUAUACAUCUGUCACAAUACCCCAACUGCAAUUCACACACAAGAGCCCUUUUAAACCAGACCCCUGAAUAAUAUACAUCUGUCACAAUACCCCAACUGCAAUUCACACACAAGAGCCCUUUUAAACCAGACCCCUGAAUAAUAUACAUCUGUCACAAUACCCCAACUGCAAUUCACACACAACAGCCCUUUUAAACCAGACCCCUGAAUAAUAUACAUCUGUCACAAUACCCCAACUGCAAUCCACACACAACAGCCCUUUUAAACCAGACCCUUAAUAAUAUACAUCUGUCACAAUACCCCAACUGCAAUCCACACACAACAGCCCUUUUAAACCAGACCCCUGAAUAAUAUACAUCUGUCACAAUGCCCCAACUGCAAUUCACACACAACAGCCCUUUUAAACCAGACCCCUGAAUAAUAUACAUCUGUCACAAUACCCCAACUGCAAUCCACACACAACAGCCCUUUUAAACCAGACCCCUGAAUAAUAUACAUCUGUCACAAUGCCCCAACUGCAAUUCACACACAACAGCCCUUUUAAACCAGACCCCUGAAUAAUAUACAUCACAAUACCCCAACUGCAAUCCACACACAACAGCCCUUUUAAACCAGACCCCUUAAUAAUAUACAUCUGUCACAAUACCCCAACUGCAAUUCACACACAAGAGCCCUUUUAAACCAGACCUCUUAAUAAUAUACAUCUGUCACAAUACCCCAACUGCAAUUCACACACAACAGCCCUUUUAAACCAGACCCCUGAAUAAUAUACAUCUGUCAUAAUACCCUUAUUUCAAUUGACAUAUGUCACACUCUCACAACUCCCUAGUCAUACAGAACAGCCCUUUUAAAGCACAAUGACCCCUGAGCAAUGCACCUCUCUCACACUAACCCAACUGUACUUCAAUCACCCUCUGUCACACACAACACAACCCUUUCAAACUGCACUCACCAGGAACACCUUAGCAGUAAAUACAUGUAAAACAGCCCCUAAUCCUUUCAAGUCACACUGGUUUGGACAUGGUUGUUGGUGAUAAGGACCAAAAAUGUAGUGGCUUUCUGCAAUCUAGGUUCAAAUCAGCCCUUUCCACUUAUGGUUCUUUGGGGGUUCUUUUUUUUUUACCUUAGAAAAAGCUGAGUCUGUUGUGAGCUUUUGGGGUGGGUCUCCUCCCUUUGUCUCAGAGCUACUGAAAAACAUAACUAAAAAGGUGGAAAAACAAAGGGUUCUCUUUGCUGCCCUUCAUUCCCUACUACAAAAAUGCAUACUAGAA